ACCUAGACAGCUAUGAAGUUUCUCAUCCUCACCUGCCUCAUGGCUGUUGCUCUUGCCAGGCCUAAAUUUCCUCUUAGAAACCCAGAACUCCUUCAAAAUCAACCAGAGAGCAGCAGCGAG